UAGGGAAUCUUCCACAAUGGACGCAAGUCUGAUGGAGCAACGCCGCGUGAGUGAAGAAGGUUUUCGGAUCGUAAAGCUCUGUUGUUGGUGAAGAAGGAUAGAGGUAGUAACUGGCCUUUAUUUGACGGUAAUCAACCAGAAAGUCACGGCUAACUACGUGCAG
rnacentral:rRNA from 1 species